rnacentral:rRNA from 1 species
AACGAACGCUGGCGGCAUGCCUAACACAUGCAAGUCGAACGGGAUCCGGACUUCGGUUCGGUGAGAGUGGCGGACGGGUGAGUAACGCGUGGGAACCUGCCCAGUGGUGGGGGAUAACUGCGGGAAACUGCAGCUAAUACCGCAUGAGCCCGAGAGGGGAAAGAUUUAUCGCCAUUGGAGGGGCCCGCGUUCGAUUAGGUAGUUGGUGAGGUAACGGCUCACCAAGCCGACGAUCGAUAGCUGGUCUGAGAGGAUGAUCAGCCACACUGGGACUGAGAUACGGCCCAGACUCCUACGGGAGGCAGCAGUGGGGAAUAUUGGACAAUGGGGGCAACCCUGAUCCAGCAAUGCCGCGUGAGUGAUGAAGGCCUUCGGGUUGUAAAGCUCUUUUGCCAGGGACGAUGAUGACGGUACCUGGAGAAUAAGCCCCGGCUAACUUCGUGC